GGAUAUAAGGGUGAUCUGGCUGUGACAUCUGUCAUCCCAUUGAUCGCCAGGAUUGAUUUGGCUGAGCUGCCUGGCUAGGCGGGUAUCCCCUUCCUCUAUCACCGCUCCAUGUGUGUCCCUCAUGAAGCUGUGUUCUUGGUCAAAGAGGAUGACCUUCCCCAAUAGAGGAGGACCGUUCUUCAGUCAAGGGUAUAUGAGUAGCUGUGCUCCCCCGCUAGAACCUCCAAACAAGCUCUCAAGGUCCAUUUGUAGGAGAACAUUGGGUAGUCAAGCUUCCAAGACUCCAGACACAUCCAAAUGAGGCACUGCAUGUGACAGUCUGCCUUUCUAU
ensembl:misc_RNA 7SK 7SK RNA